rnacentral:rRNA from 1 species
GCUGGCGGCGUGCUUAACACAUGCAAGUCGAACGGGUGUAGCAAUACAUCCGUGGCGAACGGGUGCGUAACACGUGGAUAACCUUCCUUCAGGUGGGGAAUAACCCAGUGAAAAUUGGGCUAAUACCGCAUAACAAUGCGAGGGCACAUGCUCUUGCAUUCAAAGCCGCAAGGCGCCAGUAGAGGGAUCCGCGGCCGAUUAGCUUGUUGGCGGGGUAGCGGCCCACCAAGGCAAUGAUCGGUAGCCGGACUGAGAGGUUGGCCGGCCACACUGGAACUGAGACACGGUCCAGACUCCUACGGGAGGCAGCAGUGGGGAAUCUUGCGCAAUGGGCGAAAGCCUGACGCAGCAACGCCGCGUGGGGGAUGAAGCUUCUCGGAGUGUAAACCCCUUUCGACCCGGACGAAUGCCCGCAAGGGUUUGACGGUACGGGUAUAAGAAGCCCCGGCUAACUACGUGCCAGCAGCCGCGGUAAUACGUAGGGGGCCAGCGUUGCUCGGAAUUACUGGGCGUAAAGGGUCCGUAGGCGGUGCGGCAAGUCGAUAGUGAAAUCUCUGGGCUUAACCCAGAGGCUGCU